AUUGAACGCUGGCGGCAUGCCUUACACAUGCAAGUCGAACGGCAGCACGGGAGCAAUCCUGGUGGCGAGUGGCGAACGGGUGAGUAAUAUAUCGGAACGUGCCCAGUCGUGGGGAUAACGUAGCGAAAGCUACGCUAAUACCGCAUACGAUCUAUGGAUGAAAGCGGGGGAUCGCAAGACCUCGCGCGAUUGGAGCGGCCGAUAUCAGAUUAGGUAGUUGGUGAGGUAAAGGCUCACCAAGCCGACGAUCUGUAGCUGGUCUGAGAGGACGACCAGCCACACUGGGACUGAGACACGGCCCAGACUCCUACGGGAGGCAGCAGUGGGGAAUUUUUGGGACAAUGGGCGCAAGCCUGAUCCAGCCAUGCCGCGUGCAGGAAGAAGGUCCUAUGGAUUGUAAACUGCUUUUUAUACGGUAACGAAACGGUGAGCUCUAAUACAGUUUGCUAAUGACGGUAC
rnacentral:rRNA from 1 species